GAUUAAAGUUAUUAAAUUAUGUCUUGAAAUCAUAAUAAAAGGAUUAAAAUCCUUAUUAAUCU
rnacentral:tRNA from 1 species